AACCGCCUACGGGACGCAGCAGUGAGGAAUAUUGGUCAAUGGGCGGAAGCCUGAACCAGCCACGUCGCGUGAGGGAAUAAGGCCCUACGGGUCGUAAACCUCUUUUGCCGGGGAGCAAGAGCCGGAACGAGUCCCGGUCCGGAGAGUACCCGGAGAAAAAGCAUCGGCUAACUCCGUGCCAGCAGCCGCGGUAAUACGGAGGAUGCGAGCGUUAUCCGGAUUUAUUGGGUUUAAAGGGUGCGUAGGCGGGCUUUUAAGUCAGCGGUAAAAAUUCGGGGCUCAACCCCGUCCGGCCGUUGAAACUG
rnacentral:rRNA from 1 species